UCCAACUUUGUUAACUCUUCAUUACGAUAUGCUCGAGAGGACAAAAGAUUUUGCACCUCGUUAUUGUUGGACCUCUGUGUGGAAACUGCAAACGGGACGUCAUAAGGUAAUGCAAAGGACUCUCCUACCUAACAUACUCGUUUAUUAAUUUUUAAGAGCAUAUAUAUUUUUUUGUGUGUGUGGGGGGAGGGGGGGCUUAAAAUCGGUGUUAGCUUGGUCGAAAUAGCACAUUAGCUGAAUUAUUCUGGAAAAAAUAGGUUGUGUGUGUUUUUUUCUUUUCUUAUUUAAAUAUACAUUUAGAUAUAUAUUUUCCACGGGGAGGGGCGAAGAACACAGGCGCAACGACAGUCUUUGUCUUUUUCCCGCCGAGUGUGGUGCAUUGUUCUCCUGCGCUUCUGUUCUAUGACUAUUGAGAAGCUGGCCACGCUAACAGUGGGACAUUUAGCUUCAGCUAAAGCAGCAGGUAAAAAUACACAUUUAAUGAGAAUAAAGAAAGACAACUUUUUUUUGGAAAUUUAGAGACUGCUAAAACAAUCUUAUCCAGUUUUGAGCUUGCUCAUGUAGGUUAGCCUGCUUUAUUUAAUUUUGUGUGAGCUGCAGUACACAACAUUAAAAAGUUAAUAUAACAUUAGGUUGGUGGCGCGAGGAACUCCAACCUAAGUUUAAUAUUUAUUAUUUUUUUAACUGGGAAGGGGAGCAUGUUUUUUUUCCUUUAAUACAACGUCUUCCAGGGUCUUUUUCAUAGGAAAACCAUGUAACGUCUGUGUUAGGUUGGUCAAAAGAGCAAUUAGUUGAAUUAUUCUGGAAAAGAUGGGUUGUGUGUUUUUUUCUUUUAUUUACUUAUGUAAAUAUAUUUUUCAAGGGUUAAAUAAAUGCAACAUUAAAUUAACAAUUGUCUCUCUGUCUUUUCCCGCCCAGUGUGGUGCAUUGCUGUCCUCCUGCCCUUGCUGGCCGCGCUGACAGUGUGAUGUAGCCUCAGUUUUGUGUUUUAAAGGCUUUUUCCACCAAGAUGUCUGUUGAGAGAGAGAUGACCUUACCCAUCACACCAAGGGUAAUAGCGCUUGGUAAGUAAAUAGUUUCAAUCCUCUUGUAAUAUUUUUGUAAAAAAUCUAUGUAAUUAUUGUGGUAUUUGUACCCACAACAACUUACUUAACAGGGGUUUGUCUGUUUUAUAUUGUAUAAAAAUAGAAUACACACAGUUUGCUGCUGUUUCUCUUAUUAUACACAAUGACCAACAGGAAAAAACAGCCUAACAUUUCAGCACAGGCCAAAAUGCCAAAACAUUAGGCAGUUUUUUCCUGUAAUUGAUCAUAAUUUUCAUUACAUAAUAAAUAAUAAGAGAAAUAGCAGCAAACCGUGUGGAUUCUAUUUUUGUACAGUGUGAGGCCUGCUAUCCAGCAUUCUUGUGGAAACCUUAUUUGUAAGGGUGAGCACAUUGUCUUAUUGGACUCUUGUCUGUUUUUAGGGAAUAAUUUCAUGUCUCAAGCCGCUGGAUGAUCAGUUUGGAGGGCAAGGCAUUUUAUGAGCCUGAGCAGAUGCAUGACUUUGCCAGCACCCUUGCUGUCUUCUUUGCGUCAUACUACGUUUUCAACCUUGAGUAUCAGGAGUCAGCGUCCAUCACACUGGAGAUGAUACAGAGGUUCUUUGUGAGGAUCAAUCCAGACAUGGGAACAAAAUGCCCUGCAAAACUUGGUACAAGCCGCAAGACAGGUCGUGUCGUAAAGAGGAAGGUUACAAGCAUCAGCCCUCGGAUCACCACCUUCCUCCAGCGGCUCUCUGAGUUUGAAUGGAGGACUUCCAACUAGGUGGUGAUAAAGACUACGCUGAACCCGACCAUCCUGGUAACGGAAAUCUAAAUCCCAUGUCACAUUCUAUUUCCUGGGACCCACUGAUAAUUAUUACAUUUUGUAAAUGAUUUUUGUUUUACAAUUGUAAUAGUUUAUUUAAUGUUCAUGCUGGUGGGUUUGUCCUGUUUUUAGUGGAAUGAAAAACUGUUUUCCUUAAAAAAAAUCAGACACAGAAAGGUGAAGGACUGUGUAGUUUUCAUGUACGCUUCUAUUUAUUUUGGUUAUUGACAUUGU